AAGCGGUGGAGUAUGUGGUUUAAUUCGACGCAACGCGCAGAACCUUACCUAGACUUGACAUCCCGGGAUUUCUGGAAACAGAGAAGUGCUUUAGCAAUAAGAACCGGUGACAGGUGCUGCAUGGGCUGUCGUCAGCUCGUGUCGUGAGAUGUUGGGUUAAGUCCCGCAACGAGCGCAACCCUCGCCUUUAGUUGCCAGUCAUUCAGUUGGGCACUCUAGAGGGACUGCCGGUGUCAAACCGGAGGAAGGUGGGAUGACGUCAAGUCCUCAUGGCCUUUAUGUCUAGGGCUACACACGUACUACAAUGGCCGGUACAAAGGGCAGCGACUCAGCGAUGAGGGGGCUAAUCCCAUAAAGCCGGUACUCAGUCCGGAUCGCAGUCUGCAACUCGACUGCGUGAAGUUGGAAUCGCUAGUAAUCGCAGAUCAGCAUGCUGCGGUGAAUACGUUCCCGGGUCUU
rnacentral:rRNA from 1 species